CCUACGGGAGGCAGCAGUGGGGAAUUUUGGACAAUGGGGGCAACCCUGAUCCAGCCAUUCCGCGUGAGUGAAGAAGGCCUUCGGGUUGUAAAGCUCUUUCGCAAGGGAAGAAAACUUAUGAUCGAAUAAAUCAUGAGGUUGACGGUACCUUGAUAAGAAGCACCGGCUAACUACGUGCCAGCAGCCGCGGUAAUACGUAGGGUGCGAGCGUUAAUCGGAAUUACUGGGCGUAAAGCGUGCGCAGGCGGUUUUGUAAGUCGGAUGUGAAAUCCCCGGGCUCAACCUGGGAACUGCGUUCGAAACUGCAAGGCUAGAGUGUGUCAGAGGGGGGUAGAAUUCCACGUGUAGCAGUGAAAUGCGCAGAGAUGUGGAGGAAUACCAAUGGCGAAGGCAGCCCCCUGGGAUAACACUGACGCUCAUGCACGAAAGCGUGGGGAGCAAACAGGAUUAGAUACCCUGGUAGUCCACGCCCUAAACGAUGUCAACUAGUUGUUGGUAGAGUAAAAUCUAUGAGUAACGUAGCUAACGCGUGAAGUUGACCGCCUGGGGAGUACGGUCGCAAGAUUAAAACUCAAAGGAAUUGACGG
rnacentral:rRNA from 1 species